UUUUCAGUGUCGCAGCGAAAGCGAUAAACACACCGCCUGGGGAGUACGACCGCAAGGUUAAAACUCAAAUGAAUUGACGGGGACCCGCACAAGUAGUGGAGCAUGUGGUUUAAUUCGAAGAUACGCGCAGAACCUUACCAACGCUUGACAUGUUCGUCGCGACUUUAAGAGAUUAAAGUUUUCGGUUCGGCCGGACGAAACACAGGUGCUGCAUGGCUGUCGUCAGCUCGUGUCGUGAGAUGUUGGGUUAAGUCCCGCAACGAGCGCAACCCUCACUUUUAGUUGCCAUCAUUAAGUUGGGCACUCUGAAAGAACUGCCAGUGAUAAGCUGGAGGAAGGUGGGGAUGACGUCAAGUCCUCAUGGCCCUUACGUGUUGGGCUACACACGUGCUACAAUGGUAUCUACAACAGGAAGCAAGACGGCGACGUUUAGCAAAUCCUUAAAAGAUACCUCAGUUCGGAUUGCACUCUGCAACUCGAGUGCAUGAAGCUGGAAUUACUAGUAAUCGUGGAUCAGCGUGCCACGGUGAAUGCGUUCCCGGGUCUUGUACACACCGCCCGUCACACCAUGGGAGUUGGUUCUACCUUAAGGCAAGGUUUCAAACCCUUGACCACGGUAUAGUCAGCGACUGGGGUGAAGUCGUAACAAGGUAGCCGUAGGGGAACCUGCGGCUGGAUUACCUCCUU
rnacentral:rRNA from 1 species